rnacentral:rRNA from 2 species
AAAUUGAAGAGUUUGAUCAUGGCUCAGAUUGAACGCUGGCGGCAGGCCUAACACAUGCAAGUCGAACGGUAGCACAGAGAGCUUGCUCUCGGGUGACGAGUGGCGGACGGGUGAGUAAUGUCUGGGAAACUGCCCGAUGGAGGGGGAUAACUACUGGAAACGGUAGCUAAUACCGCAUAACGUCGCAAGACCAAAGUGGGGGACCUUCGGGCCUCACACCAUCGGAUGUGCCCAGAUGGGAUUAGCUAGUAGGUGGGGUAACGGCUCACCUAGGCGACGAUCCCUAGCUGGUCUGAGAGGAUGACCAGCCACACUGGAACUGAGACACGGUCCAGACUCCUACGGGAGGCAGCAGUGGGGAAUAUUGCACAAUGGGCGCAAGCCUGAUGCAGCCAUGCCGCGUGUAUGAAGAAGGCCUUCGGGUUGUAAAGUACUUUCAGCGAGGAGGAAGGCGUUGUGGUUAAUAACCACAGCGAUUGACGUUACUCGCAGAAGAAGCACCGGCUAACUCCGUGCCAGCAGCCGCGGUAAUACGGAGGGUGCAAGCGUUAAUCGGAAUUACUGGGCGUAAAGCGCACGCAGGCGGUUUGUUAAGUCAGAUGUGAAAUCCCCGGGCUCAACCUGGGAACUGCAUUUGAAACUGGCAAGCUUGAGUCUCGUAGAGGGGGGUAGAAUUCCAGGUGUAGCGGUGAAAUGCGUAGAGAUCUGGAGGAAUACCGGUGGCGAAGGCGGCCCCCUGGACAAAGACUGACGCUCAGGUGCGAAAGCGUGGGGAGCAAACAGGAUUAGAUACCCUGGUAGUCCACGCCGUAAACGAUGUCUACUUGGAGGUUGUGCCCUUGAGGCGUGGCUUCCGGAGCUAACGCGUUAAGUAGACCGCCUGGGGAGUACGGCCGCAAGGUUAAAACUCAAAUGAAUUGACGGGGGCCCGCACAAGCGGUGGAGCAUGUGGUUUAAUUCGAUGCAACGCGAAGAACCUUACCUGGUCUUGACAUCCACGGAAGUUUUCAGAGAUGAGAAUGUGCCUUCGGGAACCGUGAGACAGGUGCUGCAUGGCUGUCGUCAGCUCGUGUUGUGAAAUGUUGGGUUAAGU